GGUGAGAGAGAGAGUGAGUGUGGGUGAGACAGACUCGUUUGUUUCCGUUUUUUUCUGUUAAAUAUAUGUGAAACAGAGAGAAGGCCAUGGUGUCGGACCAGGAGUUAGCGAAAGGGGUAGAGACUCUGCUCCGUCAAUCAGACCCCAACUCCGUCACCUCCUUAGACGGCGUCGUUCAGCAACUCGAAGCGAAGCUAGGGUUAAACCUCUCCCACAGGGCUGGCUUCAUUCGUGACCAGAUCAACCUUCUGCUCCGAUCACACCCGACAACUGUUACAACAACCGUAACCCCUACAGCUGUUACGCAACAACCACCUCCGCCGCUGCACCCGCAGCAACAGCAACAUCAACAGCCCCAACCGCAACCACAUGCCCUCCACCUUACGCAGAAAGACCAGUUUGCCCUCCAACACCACCCGCAAUUCCUACAAAUGCCUGCUCAGUUUGCCUUCCAUCCCCACCAACAUCAAGUUUUCCAGCAGGACCUCAACUUCCGCCAGCAACCAGAGCUGUCACAUCUCCCGCCUGCCCAGCAGCAGCAGCAGCAACAGCAGAGGCAGCAACAGCAGAGGCAGCAGCCUCCGCCUCUUCCAAAACCGGAGGUCUUCUCCCAAAAUGUGACUCCUGUCCCUCCUGAAUUGUCCAAAGAAAGGGAGGCAAAUAGAGUGAUGGUGUUGCUGUUAUAUUUCUCAUGCAGUGCUCCGGUUGGGGCCAAAAGAAGAGGUGGCCCAGGUGGUUUGAACAAAGUUUGUGGUGUUUCACCUGAACUUCAGGCCAUUGUUGGUGAGCCAGCCUUGCCAAGGACUGAGAUUGUGAAGCAAUUGUGGGCCUACAUAAGGAAAAACAACCUCCAAGACCCAAGCAAUAAGAGAAAGAUAAUUUGUGAUGAUGCCCUACGGGUGGUUUUCGAGACAGACUGCACUGACAUGUUCAAGAUGAACAAGCUGCUUGCUAAACAUAUCAUUCCUCUUGAACCUACAAAGGAGGCUGGUGGUCAAGCAAAACGAGUGAAGGUGGAUAUUGAGUCCACUAAUGAAACUACUGAACCUUGUGCAUCUGUGGUGGUGAUAUCCGAAGCACUUGCUGAGUUUUUGGGGACUGGAAGAAGGGAGCUGAGCCAAUUAGAGGCUUCCAGGCUUGUGUGGGAGUAUAUAAAGGUUAAUCAAUUGGAGGAUCCACUGAAUGCAAUGGUGAUAUUAUGUGAUGCAAAACUCCGAGAGCUUCUUGGAUGUGACAGCAUAUCUGCAGUGGGGGUAGACGAGAUGUUAACACGACAUCAUUUGUUCAAGAAGUCAUGAUAUUUGGCUAUGAUAAUGGGUGCAAGGAAUGUUUUGUCACCACCACCUCUGUUGGAAUCAUUCUGAUGGAAGCGCACCCGGUCGCAGGAAUUAGACACAGCCAAUGAGGAAUUAUUUCAUGCCAUUAUUAUAUCUAUAACAAAUAGAUUUUGGUCAUUAAUUACGAUGAAACUUUCAUGUGACUCAAUAAAUCGUUAUAUAUACAAGAGUAACACUUGAUUUGAGUAAGGAUUCCCAUACAUGAGAACAGGAUUGGAACUAAUACAACCCUGGCUUAAGAAAGAGCAAAAUGAUGACCAUCAAAAAUAGAAUGAGGAUGGCUGCCUUCAUCUUAUCUUUGGACAGGUUACAGUAGCUCAUCUUCUCUGCUAUGCUCAUCGCAUAUUCCAUUAUUUUCUGGGAGAAAAAAGUUAGUUGAGGAUGAACAAGAAGUCUCCCAAUAGUUGGACUUGUAUUUUCAAGCUAGAAAUCAAAGGUUUGAAGAGAGUCUACUUACCAGUCUAAAGGGCUCAAUGUGAAAGAGAGGUUCUAUGAACAUCUCUACAUUCCUGAAAGGUUGUGACUAUCAUGAAUUAAUGAACAAUUUACAAUCAUUAUCACAUUUAUUUUAGAAAUAUUUUUCUUUUGAUUGGAA